UACGGAGGGUGCAAGCGUUAUCCGGAUUCACUGGGUUUAAAGGGUGCGUAGGUGGGUUGGUAAGUCAGUGGUGAAAUCCCCGAGCUUAACUUGGGAACUGCCAUUGAUACUAUCUGUCUUGAAUACCGUGGAGGUGAGCGGAAUAUGUCAUGUAGCGGUGAAAUGCUUAGAUAUGACAUAGAACACCAAUUGCGAAGGCAGCUCACUACGCGAAUAUUGACACUGAGGCACGAAAGCGUGGGGAUCAAACAGG
rnacentral:rRNA from 1 species